rnacentral:rRNA from 1 species
UACGAAGGGGGCUAGCGUUGCUCGGAAUUACUGGGCGUAAAGCGCACGUAGGCGGCUUGGCAAGUCGGAUGUGAAAUCCCUCGGCUCAACCAAGGAAGUGCAUCCGAAACUGCUGAGCUUGAGUACUUAAGAGGAUCGCGGAAUUCCCGGUGUAGAGGUGAAAUUCGUAGAUAUCGGGAGGAACACCAGUGGCGAAGGCGGCGAUCUGGGAAGAUACUGACGCUGAGGUGCGAAAGCGUGGGGAGCAAACAGG